UGAUGAUCUUCUGAAAUGUUAAACCAAUGCCCUGGUGUCCUUUAGGGGGCUCCAUCCAGCAAUGACUACAAUGGUGGAUUCGGGGCACCCAUUAUGACCAUGCUCAUGAAAAAAUGGGUCAAAGAACAUAUCAGCGCAGUGCUGCAGGUACGCCUUUGCCAUCCGUACACUCUGAUAAUGAGUCAUAAUGUCCGCUUAUGAGACCACGAAACCUUGAGUGACUUUAUGGCAGACAGGUCUUGCUCAAAACGCAGUGACGGCAGUGAAUUCAACGACACCACACGCGUCUCUUUCUCAUCAGAUUUACCGCACCACGAUUAAUUACGGCUUUGGUGGAAAAGACUUCUCGUCUGCUUUUGAAUUAUUGCAGGAUUAGAACAGGCAGAAGAAAUGAUAAAUAACAUUAUUAUGUACUAUUAUUAUUUCCUAAGUGUAAAGACCAAAAAUCAUAUAAAUACAUGAAUGAACGUUUAUUAGAAAACUAUUGUAAAUUACUGAUUAAAAAAAUUGAGAUAUGAAUUUAAAAUGAUUUGUUAUAUAGUUUAUACAAGAUUGUUAUACUUGAGUUAAUGAUUUUGU